UACGAAGGGGGCUAGCGUUGCUCGGAAUCACUGGCGUAAAGCGCACGUAGGCGGAUUGCUAAGUCAGGGGUGAAAUCCUGGAGCUCAACUCCAGAACUGCCUUUGAUACUGGCAACCUUGAGUCCGGGAGAGGUGAGUGGAACUGCGGAGUGUAGAGGUGAAAUUCGUAGAUAUUCGCAAGAACACCAGUGGCGAAGGCGGCUCACUGGCCCGGU
rnacentral:rRNA from 1 species